AUUGAACGCUGGCGGCAGGCUUAACACAUGCAAGUCGAGCGGAGCGAGGGUGCUUGCACCUUAGCUUAGCGGCGGACGGGUGAGUAAUGCUUAGGAAUCUGCCUAUUAGUGGGGGACAACAUUCCGAAAGGAAUGCUAAUACCGCAUACGCCCUACGGGGGAAAGCAGGGGAUCUUCGGACCCUGCGCUAAUAGAUGAGCCUAAGUCGGAUUAGCUAGUUGGUGGGGUAAAGGCCUACCAAGGCGACGAUCUGUAGCGGGUCUGAGAGGAUGAUCCGCCACACUGGGACUGAGACACGGCCCAGACUCCUACGGGAGGUAGCAGUGGGGAAUAUUGGACAAUGGGCGGAAGCCUGAUCCAGCCAUGCCGCGUGUGUGAAGAAGGCCUUUUGGUUGUAAAGCACUUUAAGCGAGGAGGAGGCUACUUAGAUUAAUACUCUGGGAUAGUGGACGUUACUCGCAGAAUAAGCACCGGCUAACUCUGUGCCAGCCGCCGCGGUAA
rnacentral:rRNA from 1 species